UACGAAGGUCCCAAGCGUUGUUCGGAAUCACUGGGCGUAAAGGGAGCGUAGGCGGCGUGGUAAGUCAGAUGUGAAAUCCCGGGGCUCAACCCCGGAACUGCAUCCGAUACUGCCAUGCUUGAGGGUUGGAGAGGUAGCUGGAAUUAUCGGUGUAGCAGUGAAAUGCGUGGAUAUCGAUAGGAAGCACUCGUGGCGAAGGCGAGCUACUGGACAACAUCUGACGCUGAGGCUCGAAGGCUAGGGGAGCAAAAGGG
rnacentral:rRNA from 1 species